AAGUGAUAAAUGAUAAUGAAAGCAUGUCUUAGUGGAAAUUUGGAAAGAAUAACAAAGACACACCUCACUAUUUUAAGUGCAUUUUUAUUUGACUAAACAAUUGAGAGAUGGUGGCAUUCGUGUGGAAACCACACUCCUCUCAUCCAUAAUAAUUAUUUUUUUUUUCUCACUAAAUUGUGCUAUCUUAGUCAGCAAUCCAUUUGGAUUUUUCUUUUUUUUUUCCCCUCUUUUUUUUGGAUAGGGGUUUACAUUUUCC
rnacentral:lncRNA from 1 species